GAAUCUUUAGCUCAAAAUGGUAGAGCACUCGGUCAUCCCUCGAGAGGUUGGUGGUUCAAGUCCAUCAAGAUUCG
rnacentral:tRNA from 1 species